ensembl:lncRNA
GUGUAGGUGGGGGGAGUUUAGACUGACCACAGCUGUCAUGUGACACUGAGAAGACUUCACUCCACUCGGCUCAUCUCCAUCCUCCUCUCUGACCCCAUGAGCGCACGUCUGUCUCCAUGGAGAGUAACCACAUUUAACAGCAACCAAAGCUCAGUCCAUCUCUAUAUCUCUCUGUCGUUGAGCAGAUGGCCCAUCCAUAGGGGUGUGGCCCUCAUGCGGACAUCUCUGUGUCCCCUCUCUGACUCCCACCAGCCACUCUUCUCAUCUUGUACUGGAUUUAUUCAUAUUUGUUGUUACUCUCUCCACUCUCUGCUUCCAUUUUAAUUCCUUUAAGCAUUAGACUGCUUUGAGCUGUGCCUGCAUUCUUAAUUCUUGCCCCCCCCUCUCUCCCUGGAGGUGGAUGGAGAUAUGGAUGCAGUCCAGACAGUGAGUGCUCACUGCUCUGCAUUUCUGGUUAAAUCACUGGAAAUGUGAUUCACAAUCUAUUUGACUUCAGCAGAGCGGAGGCAAGCAGGUGAGCUAAACCAGAGGAGAUGUGAAAUUACUCACUCCCCUCACCAUAGCAACGCUUCAAACCUGACCUCCUAUAAUCUGCAUUGUAAUAACCACUGGAUAAAAAAAAAAAAGUCAAAGCACCAUUGCACUUGCUCACAGACAUAAUAAGUGGUUUGAAAUCCCCUGAAAUACUCCUCAUUUCAAUCUCUUUAUCUGUUAGUGACCUUUAGAAGACAAGUCAUAAUGGAUUGUGACAAGACACCAUGUUUGAUCAUGGUGUAGAAUGACAUUUCUAUGCAAUGCUAACAUUUCAUAUGCCACAUCUGGUUCAAAACACUGUUCAAUAUCUAUUCCUUGUCUAAAACUUGCACUGAACAAAAUCAGCAUGUACUGUAUGCAGGCCCUAAGCAGAAUGCUUCUUUUGGGUCCCCAUCCCAUUCAUAGGGGAUCACAUCUAUCUAAAAAGCACAAUAACAUAAUAACAACACUCCAAUGAAUUAACACUCUCUUAAAAAUAAAAGUUUCAAAAGGGUGUUUGUAGUGAUCCA